GUUAGGAAUAUUGGACAAUGGGCGCAAGCCUGAUCCAGCCAUGCCGCGUGAGUGAUGAAGGCCUUCGGGUUGUAAAGCUCUUUAGUCCACGAAUAUAAUGACUGUAGUGGAAGAAUAAGCCCCGGCUAACUUCGUGCCAGCAGCCGCGGUAAUACGAAGGGGGCGAGCGUUAUUCGGAAUCACUGGGCGUAAAGCGUGCGUAGGCUGUUUUGUAAGUCAGAAGUGAAAGCCCAGGGCUUAACCCUGGAAUUGCUUUUGAAACUACAAGACUCGAAUUCGGGAGAGGAUAGCGGAAUUGUCAGUGUAGCAGUGAAAUGCGUAGAUAUUGACAGGAACACCAGUGGCGUAAGCGGCUAUCUGGACCGAUAUUGACGCUGAGGCACGAAAGCGUGGGGAUCAAACAGGAUUAGAUACCCGAGUAGUCC
rnacentral:rRNA from 1 species